rnacentral:ncRNA from 1 species
AGUCUUCGCUGGGGGAGCUCGGUUGAGCCGGGCUGAGAGUGCAGCCAGCACCACGGAGUGCCCUGCUGCAGAUCCCAUGAACCCGAUCCAGGUAAUGCUGGCGUGGGGAACGCAGAAAGUCGCGUGG